GAUGAAGAACGUAGCGAAAUGCGAUAAGUAAUGUGAAUUGCAGAAUUCAGUGAAUCAUCGAAUCUUUGAACGCACAUUGCGCCCGCCAGUAUUCUGGCGAGCAUGCCUGUUCGAGCGUCAUUUCAACCAUCAAGCCCCAGGCUUGUGUUGGAGCCCUGCGGCUGCCGCAGCCUCCCAAAACCAGUGGCGGGCUCGCUAUCACACCGAGUGCAGUAGUUUACUCUUCGCUCAGGGCGUGUGGCGGGUGCUAGCCGUGAAACCCCCAACUUCUCAAGGUUGACCUCGGAUCAGGUAGGAAUACCCGCUGAACUUAAGCAUAUCAAGCGGAGGA
rnacentral:misc_RNA from 1 species